rnacentral:rRNA from 1 species
UAGGGAAUCUUCGGCAAUGGGGGGCAACCUUGACCGAGCAACGCCGCGUGAGUGAAGAAGGUUUUCGGAUCGUAAAGCUCUGUUGUAAGAGAAGAACGUGUGUGAGAGUGGAAAGUUCACACAGUGACGGUAACUUACCAGAAAGGGACGGCUAACUACGUGCCAG